CCUACGGGGGGCUGCAGUGGGGAAUAUUGCACAAUGGGGGAAACCCUGAUGCAGCAACGCCGCGUGAGUGAAGAAGGCCUUCGGGUCGUAAAGCUCUGUCCUAAGGGAAGAAGCAUGACGGUACCUUAGGAGGAAGCCCCGGCUAACUACGUGCCAGCAGCCGCGGUAAUACGUAGGGGGCGAGCGUUAUCCGGAAUCACUGGGCGUAAAGGGUGCGUAGGCGGCCAAUUAAGCCAGAGGUGAAAGGCUAAGGCUCAACCGUAGUAAGCCCUUGGGACUGAAUGGCUUGAGUGCAGGAGAGGAGAGUGGAAUUCCGAGGGUAGCGGUGAAAUGCGUAGAUAUUAGGGGGGACACCAGUGGAGAAGGAGACUCUACGGACUGUAACUGACGCUGAGGCACGAAAGCGUGGGGAGCAAACAGGAUUAGAUACCCAUGUAGUC
rnacentral:rRNA from 1 species